rnacentral:sRNA from 1 species
GUGGGGACAAGCAAAGCAGGGUUGCAGAGACAUGGACGCAGCCCCUCACUUCCCACAGGAUGUGGGCUACCAGUACGGGAAGGCGGUAUUUGGAGGCUGGAGCCGUGGCAACGUCAUUGAGAAAAUGCUCACAGACCGGCGGUCUACAGACCUUAAUGAGAGCCGCCGUGCAGAUGUGCUUGCCUUCCCAAGCUCUGGCUUCACCGACUUGGCAGAGAUUGUGUCCCGGAUUGAGCCCCCCACGAGCUAUGUCUCUGAUGGCUGUGCUGACGGAGAGGAGUCAGAUUGUCUGACAGAGUAUGAGGAGGACGCCGGACCCGACUGCUCGAGGGAUGAAGGGGGGUCCCCCGAGGGCGCAAGCCCCAGCACUGCCUCCGAGAUGGAGGAGGAGAAGUCGAUUCUCCGGCAACGACGCUGUCUGCCCCAGGAGCCGCCCGGCUCAGCCACAGAUGCCUGAGGACCUCGACAGGGGUAGCUCACUCCCCCUCCUGCUGCUAUGCCUGUGACCCCUGGGGCCCACACACUGGACUGACCUGCCCUGAGCGGGGAUGCAGUGUUGCACUGAUGACUUGACCAGUCCCCUCCCCCAAUAAACUCACCUCUUGGAAA